rnacentral:rRNA from 1 species
UACGUAGGGUCCGAGCGUUGUCCGGAAUCAUUGGGCGUAAAGCGCGUGUAGGCGGCCCGGUAAGUCCGCUGUGAAAGUCCAGGGCUCAACCCUGGGAUGCCGGUGGAUACUGUCGGGCUCGAGUCCGGAAGAGGCGAGUGGAAUUCCUGGUGUAGCGGUGAAAUGCGCAGAUAUCAGGAGGAACACCAAUGGCGAAGGCAGCUCGCUGGGACGUGACUGACGCUAAGGCGCGAAAGCGUGGGGAGCAAACAGG